rnacentral:rRNA from 1 species
AUUGAACGCUGGCGGCAGGCCUAACACAUGCAAGUCGAACGAGUGGCGGACGGGUGAGUAAUGUCUGGGAAACUGCCUGAUGGAGGGGGAUAACUACUGGAAACGGUAGCUAAUACCGCAUACCAUCGGAUGUGCCCAGAUGGGAUUAGCUAGUAGGUGGGGUAAAGGCUCCCCUAGGCGACGAUCCCUAGCUGGUCUGAGAGGAUGACGAGGCAACCUGGGAUGUUGAUACGGUCCAGACUCCUACGGGAGGCAUAAGUGGGGAAUAUUGCACAAUGGGCGCAAGCCUGAUGCAGCCAAGCCGCGUGUAUGAAGAAGGCCUUCGGGUUGUAAAGUACUUUCAGCGGGGAGGCGUUACCCGCAGAAGAAGCACCGGCUAACUCCGUGCCAGCAGCCGCGGUAAUAC